AGUGAACGCUGGCGGCAGGCCUAAUACAUGCAAGUCGAACGGCAGCACAGCAGAGCUUGCUCUGUGGGUGGCGAGUGGGCGGACGGGUGAGGAAUACGUGGGAAUCUGCCCAGUCGUGGGGGAUAACGUAGGGAAACUUACGCUAAUACCGCAUGCGCCCUUCGGGGAAAGCCGGGGACCUUCGGGCCUGGCGCGAUUGGAUGAGCCCACGUCGGAUUAGCUAGUUGGCGGGGUAAAGGCCCACCAAGGCGACGAUCCGUAGCUGGUCUGAGAGGAUGAUCAGCCACACUGGAACUGAGACACGGUCCAGACUCCUACGGGAGGCAGCAGUAGGGAAUAUUGGACAAUGGGCGCAAGCCUGAUCCAGCCAUGCCGCGUGAGUGAAGAAGGCCCUCGGGUUGUAAAGCUCUUUUGUCCGAAAGAAAGCGCCGGGUUAAUACCCUGGUGUCCUGACGGUACCGGAAGAAUAAGCACCGGCUAACUUCGUGCCAGCAGCCGCGGUAAU
rnacentral:rRNA from 1 species